rnacentral:rRNA from 1 species
CCUACGGGAGACAGCAGUGAGGAAUAUUGGUCAAUGGGCGAGAGCCUGAACCAGCCAAGUCGCGUGAGGGAAGACGGUCCUAUGGAUUGUAAACCUCUUUUGUCGGGGAGCAAAAAGCGGUACGUGUACCGCAUCGAGAGUACCCGGCGAAAAAGCAUCGGCGAACUCCGUUCCAGCAGCCGCGGUAAUACGGAGGAUGCAACCUUUAUCCGGAUUAAUUGGGUUAAAGGGGUGGGCAGGUGGCGUGUUAAGUCAGCGGUAAAAUUUCGGGGCUCAACCCCGACAAGCCGUUGAAACUGGCUUGCUAGAGUGGGCGAGAGGUAUGCGGAAUGCGUGGUGUAGCGGUGAAAUGCAUAGAUAUCACGAAGAACUCCGAUUGCGAAGGCAGCAGACCGGCGCCCAACUGACGCUCAGGCACGAAAGCGUGGGUAUCGAACAGGAUUAGAUACCCGAGUAGUC